UACAGAGGUCUCAAGCGUUGUUCGGAUUCAUUGGGCGUAAAGGGUGCGUAGGCGGCGCGGUAAGUCGGGUGUGAAAUCUUGGAGCUUAACUCCGAAACUGCAUUCGAUACUGCCGUGCUUGAGGACUGGAGAGGAGACUGGAAUUUACGGUGUAGCGGUGAAAUGCGUAGAGAUCAUGAGGAAGACCAGUGGCGAAGGCGGGUCUCUGGACAGUACCUGACGCUGAGGCACGAAGGCCAGGGGAGCAAACGGG
rnacentral:rRNA from 1 species